rnacentral:lncRNA from 1 species
CCAGCACACAUGAAGCGAGGAGGUAGACAUCCAGGAAUGCAAGCAGUCCCGGAGGUGGCUGACAUCUCAAACACCCAAGGAUAACCGGGCACAAGACAGGGGCUAGUGGUCAGAGAGGAGGAUGGCUGAAAUGAAAACUGUGGAGGGGACAGUCAAAGGUGAUGUCGAAGUCUGAAGUGGAACCAUGAUACUUUUUGGCUGAGAUCACUGAAGGUGAGGCGGCAAGAACUCAAGAGACCAGCACAGGCUGAGUCACACAGAAAUGCUGGUUGAUGAGAUCCCCGUGAAAAUACUGAGUGCAGAGAUGGAUGGUGGCAGUGAGCCAGGUUUCAUAGAGCUUUUGAACAAUAAGGGUGUUGAAAGAAGGCCAACACAACAGAACGGUGAAGAGAAAGCAGGAGGCCUGAUCUUAGUGCAUGAGCUUUCACAGAGGUGGGUUUGGAUGAGGAAGAGGGAUCUACGGCUUGGAAGGUUAAGCAAGACACUCCACUGGGUAA